rnacentral:rRNA from 1 species
GAUGAGCGCUGGCGGCGUGCCUAAUACAUGCAAGUCGAGCGAACGGACGAGAAGCUUGCUUCUCUGAUGUUAGCGGCGGACGGGUGAGUAACACGUGGAUAACCUACCUAUAAGACUGGGAUAACUUCGGGAAACCGGAGCUAAUACCGGAUGAUAUUUUGAACCGCAUGGUUCAAAAGUGAAAGACGGUCUUGCUGUCACUUAUAGAUGGAUCCGCGCUGCAUUAGCUAGUUGGUAAGGUAACGGCUUACCAAGGAAACGAUGCAUAGCCGACCUGAGAGGGUGAUCGGCCACACUGGAACUGAGACACGGUCCAGACUCCUACGGGAGGCAGCAGUAGGGAAUCUUCCGCAAUGGGCGAAAGCCUGACGGAGCAACGCCGCGUGAGUGAUGAAGGUCUUCGGAUCGUAAAACUCUGUUAUUAGGGAAGAACAUAUGUGUAAGUAACUGUGCACAUCUUGACGGUACCUAAUCAGAAAGCCACGGCUAACUACGUG